rnacentral:rRNA from 1 species
ACGGCGAGUGAAGCGGCAACAGCUCAAAUUUGAAAUCUGGCCCCCGGGUCCGAGUUGUAAUUUGCAGAGGAUGCUUCGGGCGAGGUGCCUUCCGAGUUCCCUGGAACGGGACGCCACAGAGGGUGAGAGCCCCGUCUGGUCGGACACCGAGCCCGUGUGAAGCUCCUUCGAAGAGUCGAGUAGUUUGGGAAUGCUGCUCAAAACGGGAGGUAUAUGUCUUCUAAAGCUAAAUAUUGGCCAGAGACCGAUAGCGCACAAGUAGAGUGAUCGAAAGAUGAAAAGCACUUUGAAAAGAGGGUUAAAAAGUACGUGAAAUUGUUGAAAGGGAAGCGCCCAUGACCAGACUUGGGCCCGGUGAAUCACCCGGCGUUCUCGCCGGUGCACUUUGCCGGGCACAGGCCAGCAUCAGUUUGGCGCGGGGGAGAAAGGCUUCGGGAACGUGGCUCCCUCGGGAGUGUUAUAGCCCGCUGCGCAAUACCCUGCGCCGGACUGAGGUACGCGCAUCGCAAGGAUGCUGGCGUAAUGGUCAUCAGCGACCCGUCUUGAAACACGGACCAAGGAGUCGUCUUCGUAUGCGAGUGUUCGGGUGUCAAACCCCUACGCGGAAUGAAAGUGAACGCAGGUGAGAGCUUCGGCGCAUCAUCGACCGAUCCUGAUGUUCUCGGAUGGAUUUGAGUAAGAGCAUACGGGGCCGGACCCGAAAGAAGGUGAACUAUGCCUGUAUAGGGUGAAGCCAGAGGAAACUCUGGUGGAAGCUCGCAGCGGUUCUGACGUGCGAAUCGAUCGUCAAAUAUGGGCAUGGGGGCGAAAGACUAAUCGAACCUUCUAGUAGCUGGUUUC